GCGGCGCACUAUCUGUCACCAACUGCCUUCUUCUUCGUGUUAAAUCAGUUCGCAAUCAUGGCAACAGCAGCGCAAGAGUACUACACCACGUCAUCGCCUUACUACACAACAACGUCAACAUACGUAACACCUGCUUAGUACACCGAGGCCCUCAAGUACUACAUCACCAAGGAUGCAGAGUAUUACACGAAAACUUACGCUGCUCCCAGCUACUACGCCAAAGCCCCGAAGUAUUACUCUGCCUCAACUUACAUCACCAUCGAACACAGUACAUCACCUGAGUACUACACCACCAAAGCACCUAACUAUUCCACUAAGGCUCCAUACUAUAACUACACCACCGAGGGACCGGAGUACUACACCACCGAGGGACCGGAGUACUACACCACC